CAGAGAUUAGUUUCUCGUUUCGACGCGAAGUACAAUGGAACACGGCUGUUUCGGUGCCGAAUCGUCUGUACGCGGCCAAAAUAUACCUACGUGCAUCCCACGUAUUCCACGAUCGACCGAAUUCGAGAUCGUAGAAAAAUACUUGGCCAAUACCGCCUGGUGCCGUCUUGAACAAUUGAUAAGCUUCGUUCAGACUGAAAAACAAGUGUCUAUAGACGUGUCUGGUGACUGUCGCAGACUUGUUUUUAUUCUUCACUUCUCUUCACUGGAAUGGAAAGCCUAGUGUCAUGAUAAGCGAAAGGACGAGACGUGAAUCAGAAAAAUACAUUUUCUAAUUUAAGACGAAUGUUCGAGCAACACUUUGUCCGUUCUCUACCGGUCAAUACGGAACAACGGAGAAUUCGAUCGAUUAUCAUCCGGUCACUGUUUAUAAAAUAGGUAUGCGACGUGGGGAGGAAGACGUUUCCCCGAGUGGAUCUUUAUAACCGCGACUCAUUUAAAUUGGCUAUAAUGGCUGCACAUCCUGUUUAAACGUAGUUUACGACGGACCCUAGUUGUCGCGCGGUAGGAAUCGUACAUUGCGAGUACGUAGGUAUAUUCCGACACAUGACAACGACACGAAAGAACGCGUGCGAUCAAACAGGUUUACGAACAUUGCACUAGCCGAAAUUCAUCAAGUCACUUUUCUAACAUUUUUCGGUAAAAUUUUUACGUUUAAGAAAAGCUAAAUUUGUUCUGGUCUUGAUUUCAUUCAAUACAAUCUCUUUCGGAUGUAAAAUUGCUGAUAAACAAAGGCACUAUAAGUACGAUUCUUCAUUCACUCUAUUACCCUCGUAUCACUAAAUAUCAGUAUAUUCUGAUUAAACUAUGACCAGAGCACACCAGAAUUAACUUUUAUCUUUCCAAAGAGUCAGCCGACGACCCAAAAAUCUUCUUAUACGAGCAUGAAAAGUGUAAACCCAUAUUUUUGGCUAAUUUUCUGGGUAACAUUGAUAUUCUGGCUUAUCGCGCCGCUUCGGGCCCUCUUAUCUACUCCACAUCUAUCCCCUUAAGCGAGUAGAUUCAAAUAGUGGCGCGAUAAGGCAAAAGGUCAAUAUCUGUCGUGUCGUAGGUCCGAAAAUGCUUAUUGAAUAAAUGUAUGUUUUUAAAGAUAUUCUUUUCUUGCUAUAGUUCGCAAUUGAGUACAUGUAGAAACGCCAGGAAUAUGCGACAACGACGACUAUACUAUGCAAUGCAAAGGUAAAAAAUACGCGUAAAUAAUUCAAAGGUAGCAGAGGUUAGUGAAUGGUAUUGAAGAAUUCGCUAUAAAUUGGAAAUGCGUCGGAAACAAUAAAUUCUUCAAAACAUCGUAUCGCGUCGGGUCGUUGAUAAAUAUCCGUCGGAGACUCGCAAGCCGUAAACUUUUUAUCAUUAAUGGUUUUAUCGCAGAUAAAUGAAAUCAGCAAAGUUUCUCGCGAGUACUCGUCGUGGAAUCGUAUAAAUAGUUUACGUAUGUAUCUGAAUCCGGCGGUCAACCGGUUGCUGUUCGCAGAAACGCGAUCCUAUUGUAUCGCGAAUUAGAUCGCGAAUAUUUAUGCAGUUGUUUACCGCGUGGCGAGCACGAUUUCAUUUUUAAAUCGGCUCUCGAAAAUAUCCGCGACAACAACCCCGUCCUCUACCAGAAUUUCGACGUUGCAACAGUAAAGAAUCAAUAAUUUUAAUUAUCGUAUAAAUAUCGCACAAUGUAGAAUUAGAGGUAAACUUUUAUCGACUCAUUCUCACGUGUACAUACUAUUGUGUACGUCGUUAUUCUCGGACGUAUGUGUACUUGUGUACAUACUUUAUGCUCGUGCGAAAUUCGUACCUAUGCUUUAUCGCCGAUUUAAUUAAAAUCCUCAAUUUAUCUACGGCUUCGCGCGUUCAUUUUUUCGCGCCGCUCGAGACGUAAUUUUCUGAACGUUCACGGACGAACAAAUAUAUGGGUCGUUUAUUUUUGCACAGAGGGCCAAGGAGUUUUCGUAUACGCAGUAAGCCGGGACGGAGGAACAAAGUUGAUCAAUUUUGAUCGGAGCAACGAAAGCUCGUAUCGUUUCCGAGAUUUCCCAUAGGAACGACCGGACAUCGUCGGAAGCAACGUCGAUGACAUGCUCCUACAGUUCCCCGGAGUCGCUUCGAUGAACUAUACCCGUACAUAUUCGUCCGUUAACCCCUUGUACGUCUUGCACGUUUCCAUUCCAAGCAGUGAACACUACCCGUUGACGGGACCCCAAUUAAAAAGUUAAAAAACGCAAUGUUCACUUUUUUCCCUCGCGAUUCCGAACAAUAAGAAUUCUGAACAAAUUCUUUUUUUCAUUGCGUAGUAAAUUAAACCUUCUAGAAUCUCACAAAAAAUUAAGUCUUUUGGUUCGAUAUGAAAAAAGUUAUUCUGUUUUAAAGUGUGUCCGAAUGUUAAUAUGAGUCACUGUAUGUCGUAUACAUGUACAGAUUAACAGUAAAUGAAUAGUGAUAUUAUGUGGAAAAUAAAUUUUACAUUAACACUUGGA